rnacentral:rRNA from 1 species
AGAGACAGCAGUAGCCGCGGUAAUACGUAGGGUGCGAGCGUUAAUCGGAAUUACUGGGCGUAAAGCGUGCGCAGGCGGUUCGUUAAGACAGAUGUGAAAUCCCCGGGCUUAACCUGGGAACUGCAUUUGUGACUGGCGAGCUAGAGUAUGGCAGAGGGGGGUAGAAUUCCACGUGUAGCAGUGAAAUGCGUAGAGAUGUGGAGGAAUACCGAUGGCGAAGGCAGCCCCCUGGGCCAAUACUGACGCUCAUGCGCGAAAGCGUGGGGAGCAAACAGGAUUAGAUACCCGCGUAGUCCCUGUCUCUUAUAC